rnacentral:rRNA from 1 species
UACAGAGGGUGCAAACGUUGUUCGGAAUUACUGGGCGUAAAGCGAGUGUAGGCGGUCUGAAAAGUCGGGUGUGAAAGCCCUGGGCUCAACCCAGGAAGUGCACUCGAAACUGCCAGGCUAGAGUAUCGGAGAGGUUGGUGGAAUUCUCGGUGUAGAGGUGAAAUUCGUAGAUAUCGAGAGGAACACCGGUGGCGAAGGCGGCCAACUGGACGAAUACUGACGCUGAGACUCGAAAGCGUGGGGAGCAAACAGG